AACGAACGCUGGCGGCAGGCUUAACACAUGCAAGUCGAGCGCCCCGCAGGGGGAGCGGCAGACGGGGGAGUAACGCGGGGGAUUCUACCCAUCCCUACGGAAUAGCUCCGGGAAACUGGAAUUAAUACCGUAUACGCCCUAGGGGGGAAAGAUUUAUCGGGGAUGGAUGAGCCCGCGUUGGAUUAGCUAGUUGGUGGGGUAAAGGCCUACCAAGGCGACGAUCCAUAGCUGGUCUGAGAGGAUGAUCAGCCACAUUGGGACUGAGACACGGCCCAAACUCCUACGGGAGGCAGCAGUGGGGAAUAUUGGACAAUGGGGGCAACCCUGAUCCAGCCAUGCCGCGUGAGUGAUGAAGGCCUUAGGGUUGUAAAGCUCUUUCACCGGGGAAGAUAAUGACGGUACCCGGAGAAGAAGCCCCGGCUAACUUCGUGCCAGCCGCCGCUGUAAGAC
rnacentral:rRNA from 1 species